CAGCAGCCGCGGUAAUACGAAGGGGGCUAGCGUUGUUCGGAUUUACUGGGCGUAAAGCGCACGUAGGCGGAUCGAUCAGUCAGGGGUGAAAUCCUGGAGCUCAACUCCAGAACUGCCUUUGAUACUGUCGAUCUCGAGUCCGGAAGAGGUGAGUGGAACUCCUAGUGUAGAGGUGGAAUUCGUAGAUAUUAGGAAGAACACCAGUGGCGAAGGCGGCUCACUGGUCCGGUACUGACGCUGAGGUGCGAAAGCGUGGGGAGCAAACAGGAUUAGAGACCCGCGUAGUCCCUGUCUCUUAUAC
rnacentral:rRNA from 1 species